rnacentral:sRNA from 1 species
UCGAUCUGUUGCGGGCAGAUGAAAUGGAUAUGGCUGUCAAAUCCCCCGGCCGUCAGGAUGCGGCCCUCGCCUGCGAUCACCUCGGUGCCGGGGCCAACGAUCACAUCAACGCCGGGCUGGGUAUCUGGAUUGCCUGCUUUGCCGAUCUUGGCAAUGCGCCCGUCCCGCAGGCCCACGUCGGCCUUGUAAAUGCCAGAGUGAUCGACAAUCAGCGCAUUGGUGAUCACCGUAUCCACCGCGCCUGCGGCCCGUGUCGCCUGUGAUUGACCCAUGCCAUCGCG